CUGGGAGGACCAUCUCCUAAGGCUAAAUACUCUCUAGUGACCGAUAGUGAACCAGUACCGUGAGGGAAAGGUGAAAAGCACCCCGGAAGGGGAGUGAAAUAGAACCUGAAACCGUGUGCUUACAAGUAGUCAGAGCCCGUUAAUGGGUGAUGGCGUGCCUUUUGUAGAAUGAACCGGCGAGUUACGAUUUGAUGCAAGGUUAAGCAGUAAAUGUGGAGCCGUAGCGAAAGCGAGUCUGAAUAGGGCGUUUAGUAUUUGGUCGUAGACCCGAAACCAGGUGAUCUACCCUUGGUCAGGUUGAAGUUCAGGUAACACUGAAUGGAGGACCGAACCGACUUACGUUGAAAAGUGAGCGGAUGAACUGAGGGUAGCGGAGAAAUUCCAAUCGAACCUGGAGAUAGCUGGUUCUCUCCGAAAUAGCUUUAGGGCUAGCCUCAAGUGAUGAUUAUUGGAGGUAGAGCACUGUUUGGACGAGGGGCCCCUCUCGGGUUACCGAAUUCAGACAAACUCCGAAUGCCAAUUAAUUUAACUUGGGAGUCAGAACAUGGGUGAUAAGGUCCGUGUUCGAAAGGGAAACAGCCCAGACCACCAGCUAAGGUCCCAAAAUAUAUGUUAAGUGGAAAAGGAUGUGGCGUUGCCCAGACAACUAGGAUGUUGGCUUAGAAGCAGCCAUCAUUUAAAGAGUGCGUAAUAGCUCACUAGUCGAGUGACACUGCGCCGAAAAUGUACCGGGGCUAAACAUAUUACCGAAGCUGUGGAUUGUCCUUUGGACAAUGGUAGGAGAGCGUUCUAAGGGCGUUGAAGCAUGAUCGUAAGGACAUGUGGAGCGCUUAGAAG
rnacentral:rRNA from 1 species